ACACCACAAACGCCAGGGUACUACGAGCCCAGCUUAAAACCCAAAGGACUUGACGGUGUUCUAUCCAACUAGAGGAGCCUGUUCUAUAAUCGACAACCCACGAUACACCUAACCACUUCUUGUUUAUCAGCCUGUAUACCUCCGUCGCAAGCUUACCAUAUGAACGCACAACAGUAGGCUCAAGGACCCACAACGCCACAACGUCAGGUCAAGGUGCAGCUCAUGAAAUGGAAGAGAUGGGCUACAAUUUCUAAUUUAGAACAAACGAAAUACUACAUGAAACAUAGUCAUGAAGGAGGAUUUAGUAGUAAGCGGGAAAUAGAGAGUCCCACUAAACUCGGCCCUAGAACG
rnacentral:rRNA from 1 species